GACGAACGCUGGCGGCGUGCUUAACACGUGCAAGUCGAACGGAAAGGCCCUGCUUUUGUGGGGUGCUCGAGUGGCGAACGGGUGAGUAACACGUGAGUAACCUGCCCUUGACUUUGGGAUAACUUCAGGAAACUGGGGCUAAUACCGGAUAGGAGCUCCUGCUGCAUGGUGGGGGUUGGAAAGUUUCGGCGGUUGGGGAUGGACUCGCGGCUUAUCAGCUUGUUGGUGGGGUAGUGGCUUACCAAGGCUUUGACGGGUAGCCGGCCUGAGAGGGUGACCGGCCACAUUGGGACUGAGAUACGGCCCAGACUCCUACGGGAGGCAGCAGUGGGGAAUAUUGCACAAUGGGCGGAAGCCUGAUGCAGCAACGCCGCGUGCGGGAUGACGGCCUUCGGGUUGUAAACCGCUUUCGCCUGUGACGAAGCGUGAGUGACGGUAAUGGGUAAAGAAGCACCGGCUAACUACGUGCCAGCAGCCGCGGUGAUACGUAGGGUGCGAGCGUUGUCCGGAUUUAUUGGGCGUAAAGGGCUCGUAGGUGGUUGAUCGCGUCGGAAGUGUAAUCUUGGGGCUUAACCCUGAGCGUGCUUUCGAUACGGGUUGACUUGAGGAAGGUAGGGGAGAAUGGAAUUCCUGGUGGAGCGGUGGAAUGCGCAGAUAUCAGGAGGAACACCAGUGGCGAAGGCGGUUCUCUGGGCCUUUCCUGACGCUGAGGAGCGAAAGCGUGGGGAGCGAACAGGCUUAGAUACCCUGGUAGUCCACGCUGUAAACGGUGGGUACUAGGUGUGGGGUCCAUUCCACGGGUUCCGUGCCGUAGCUAACGCUUUAAGUACCCCGCCUGGGGAGUACGGCCGCAAGGCUAAAACUCAAAGGAAUUGACGGGGCCCCGCACAAGCGGCGGAGCAUGCGGAUUAAUUCGAUGCAACGCGUAGAACCUUACCUGGGUUUGACAAGGAUCGGGAGUGCUCAGAGAUGGGUGUGCCUCUUUUGGGGUCGGUUCACAGGUGGUGCAUGGCUGUCGUCAGCUCGUGUCGUGAGAUGUUGGGUUAAGUCCCGCAACGAGCGCAACCCUUGUUCACUGUUGCCAGCACGUUAUGGUGGGGACUCAGUGGAGACCGCCGGGGUCAACUCGGAGGAAGGUGGGGAUGACGUCAAGUCAUCAUGCCCCUUAUGUCCAGGGCUUCACGCAUGCUACAAUGGCUGGUACAGAGAGUGGCGAGCCUGUGAGGGUGAGCGAAUCUCGGAAAGCCGGUCUCAGUUCGGAUUGGGGUCUGCAACUCGACCUCAUGAAGUCGGAGUCGCUAGUAAUCGCAGAUCAGCAACGCUGCGGUGAAUACGUUCCCGGGGCU
rnacentral:rRNA from 1 species